GCGGAGCGUUGUUCGGAAUUAUUGGGCGUAAAGCGCGUGUAGGCGGUUUGUUAAGUCUGAUGUGAAAGCCCCGGGCGUCAACCUGGGAAGUGCAUUUGGAUACUGGCAGACUUGAAUACGGGAGAGGGCAGUGGAAUUCCUGGUGUAGGAGUGAAAUCCGUAGAUAUCAGGAGGAACACCGGUGGCGAAGGCGGCUGCCUGGACCGAUAUUGACGCUGAGACGCGAAAGCGUGGGUAGC
rnacentral:rRNA from 1 species